rnacentral:lncRNA from 1 species
GACCUGGAGCACCGCCGGGUGAGUAAAAAUUAAAAAGGUGCCUCUAGCCAGGGAAGGGAUUCUCUGGAACUUGCCCCCCACUCUGGGCAUCCCUGCCACUGGGUGCGGGGCCCGAUUCAGGGGAAUUGGUGGAAUUGGCCUAAAGCCGGCCCUGGGGUACAUGGUGUUAAUUCCGAGCCAUGUGCUUGUGGGAGAUAGCCCAGGGUGGGGCAUCAAGUGUGCUCUGAGCUUAUCAAAGCUUGCUGGGUCUGGUCCUGGCCAGAGCCAAUGAAGAAACUUUAGAAGUGAGGGGAAGAGGAGAGGCUGUUAAAGCAGUCACCCUAUGAUAACAGCAGGGGAGACCUGAAAGCUGAUCCCCAGGAACUAGAAAGGCUUGAUGCUGGUUAUCGUUGACUGACGGGCAGGGUUAGAUGGUGGGACGAGGUGUAGCAAGAUGCCUAGAGGAGUCUUGAUGGGUACAGUACACAGAGCACAGUCCCACUUCAGCGGUGGUGGGACCGGUUCUGAUCUUGCACUGAUGUAGAUCCAGAGCAACUCCGUUGGAAUGGAACCACUGCCUGACUCAGCGCAAGAGCAGAAUUAGGACCAGCAAAAUGCUUGGUGUCUUGCUGCUGCUCAGUGUUGUGGGAAGGGGCUGAGUCCCGUUGGUCCCCUAGUGGCACUCAUGGUGUUCCCAGGGCUGAUGAGGUUGCUCCUUGGAUUUGUUUCAGUGACUUCGGGGGGAAUGAAUGGACUUGUACAGCAUAUUAGUCUGCUGAUCGUAAUCCUCCUGGUUGUACUACACACAAUCUGCUUACUUUGAAUCGUGAGGUUGAGGAUUCAUGUCCCUUCACCGCCAAAGCUCUCUUUCUUGAGGCAGCAUGGUCUUGUGGAUAGGACGGGCUGGGGGUCAUGUGACCUGAUUCUAUUCCAAGCUCUGCUGCUGACCUGCUGUGUUACCUUGGGUGAGUCAUGUCACUGCUCUUUGUCAUCCUACUCUUUCUGGCUUGUCUAUUUCUGUUGUAGCAGGGACUGUCUUAUGUAUUUGGAGCCCUGAUCUCAGUUAGGGGCCUGUAGGUGCUGCUGCAAUACAAAUAGGUAAUAACUUUCCUGGUUGUCAUCACCUUUGUUUCUUGGG